CAGCCGUAAACUAUGCUCGCUAGGUGUCAGGCAUGGCGCGACCGUGUCUGGUGCCGCAGGGAAGCCGUGAAGCGAGCCACCUGGGAAGUACGGCCGCAAGGCUGAAACUUAAAGGAAUUGGCGGGGGAGCACAACAACGGGUGGAGCCUGCGGUUUAAUUGGACUCAACGCCGGACAACUCACCGGGGACGACAGCAAUAUGUAGGCCAGGCUGAAGACCUUGCCUGAAUCGCCGAGAGGUGGUGCAUGGCGGUAGACGUCU
rnacentral:rRNA from 1 species